AUUAUACUUCCUCUAUCUGGAAAUAUUUGUCAUAAAAAUGGAUGUAUCUAAACUUAUUUUAGUUAUAAAUACAUUUAUUUUAUUCAUUUAUAGGACAAGUAUUUUUGGACGGAGGGAGUACAUG
rnacentral:pre_miRNA from 1 species